rnacentral:rRNA from 1 species
GACGAACGCUGGCGGCGUGCUUAACACAUGCAAGUCGAACGGAAAGGCCCUGCUUGCAGGGUACUCGAGUGGCGAACGGGUGAGUAACACGUGGGUGAUCUGCCCUGCACUUCGGGAUAAGCCUGGGAAACUGGGUCUAAUACCGGAUAGGAGCCAUUUUUAGUGUGAUGGUUGGAAAGUUUUUUCGGUGUAGGAUGAGCUCGCGGCCUAUCAGCUUGUUGGUGGGGUAAUGGCCUACCAAGGCGGCGACGGGUAGCCGGCCUGAGGGGGUGGACGGCCAAACUGGGACCGAGAGACGGCCCCGACUCCGACGGGAGGCAGAAGGGGGGAAGAUUGAACAAUGGGCGCAAGCCUGAUGCAGCGACGCCGCGUGGGGGAUGACGGCCUUCGGGUUGUAAACUCCUUUCGCUAGGGACGAAGCUUUUUGUGACGGUACCUAGAGAAGAAGCACCGGCUAACUACGUG